UACGUAGGGUGCAAGCGUUAAUCGGAAUUACUGGGCGUAAAGCGUGCGCAGGCGGUGAUGUAAGACAGGUGUGAAAUCCCCGGGCUUAACCUGGGAACUGCAUUUGUGACUGCAUCGCUGGAGUGCGGCAGAGGGGGAUGGAAUUCCGCGUGUAGCAGUGAAAUGCGUAGAUAUGCGGAGGAACACCGAUGGCGAAGGCAACCU
rnacentral:rRNA from 1 species